GACGAACGCUGGCGGCGUGCUUAACACAUGCAAGUCGAACGGAAAGGCUCCAGCUUGCUGGAGUACUCGAGUGGCGAACGGGUGAGUAACACGUGGGUAAUCUGCCCUGCACUCUGGGAUAAGCCUGGGAAACUGGGUCUAAUACUGGAUAUGACCUUUCUCCUUAUGGGGUUUGGUGAAAAGUUUUUCGGUGUAGGAUGAGCCCGCGGCCUAUCAGCUUGUUGGUGGGGUGAUGGCCUACCAAGGCGACGACGGGUAGCCGGCCUGAGAGGGUGAUCGGCACCGGUGGGAAGGAGAAACGCCCAGGACUCAGCGGGGGGGCAGGAGUGGGAAUUAUGCAACAGGGGGGGGAGGCUGGAGGCGGGGACCCGGGGGGGGGGAGGCCGGCUUGGGGGUGGAAAACCUCUUCCAGCGGGAAGGAAGGGAAAGGGAGGUGCCCUGAAAAAGAACACCGGGCAAACCAGGGG
rnacentral:rRNA from 1 species